AGUGAACGCUGGCGGUAGGCCUAACACAUGCAAGUCGAACGGCAGCACAGUAAGAGCUUGCUCUUACGGGUGGCGAGUGGCGGACGGGUGAGGAAUACAUCGGAAUCUACUUUUUCGUGGGGGAUAACGUAGGGAAACUUACGCUAAUACCGCAUACGACCUACGGGUGAAAGCAGGGGAUCUUCGGACCUUGCGCGAUUGAAUGAGCCGAUGUCGGAUUAGCUAGUUGGCGGGGUAAAGGCCCACCAAGGCGGCGAUCCGUAGCUGGUCUGAGAGGAUGAUCAGCCACACUGGAACUGAGACACGGUCCAGACUCCUACGGGAGGCAGCAGUGGGGAAUAUUGGACAGUGGGCGCAAGCCUGAUCCAGCCAUACCGCGUGGGUGAAGAAGGCCUUCGGGUUGUAAAGCCCUUUUGUUGGGAAAGAAAAGCAGCAGGUUAAUACCCCGCUGUUCUGACGGUACCCAAAGAAUAAGCACCGGCUAACUUCGU
rnacentral:rRNA from 1 species